GAUGAACGCUGGCGGCGUGCCUAAUACAUGCAAGUCGAGCGAACAGACGAGGAGCUUGCUCCUCUGACGUUAGCGGCGGACGGGUGAGUAACACGUGGAUAACCUACCUAUAAGACUGGGAUAACUUCGGGAAACCGGAGCUAAUACCGGAUAACAUGUUGAACCGCAUGGUUCAACAGUGAAAGGCGGUCUUGCUGUCACUUAUAGAUGGAUCCGCGCCGCAUUAGCUAGUUGGUAAGGUAACGGCUUACCAAGGCAACGAUGCGUAGCCGACCUGAGAGGGUGAUCGGCCACACUGGAACUGAGACACGGUCCAGACUCCUACGGGAGGCAGCAGUAGGGAAUCUUCCGCAAUGGGCGAAAGCCUGACGGAGCAACGCCGCGUGAGUGAUGAAGGUCUUCGGAUCGUAAAACUCUGUUAUUAGGGAAGAACAAAUGUGUAAGUAACUAUGCACGUCUUGACGGUACCUAAUCAGAAAGCCACGGCUAACUACGUG
rnacentral:rRNA from 1 species